rnacentral:rRNA from 1 species
GACGAACGCUGGCGGCGUGCUUAACACAUGCAAGUCGAACGGAAAGGCCCUGCUUUUGUGGGGUGCUCGAGUGGCGAACGGGUGAGUAACACGUGAGUAACCUGCCCUUGACUUUGGGAUAACUUCAGGAAACUGGGGCUAAUACCGGAUAGGAGCUCCUGCUGCAUGGUGGGGGUUGGAAAGUUUCGGCGGUUGGGGAUGGACUCGCGGCUUAUCAGCUUGUUGGUGGGGUAGUGGCUUACCAAGGCUUUGACGGGUAGCCGGCCUGAGAGGGUGACCGGCCACAUUGGGACUGAGAUACGGCCCAGACGCCUACGGGAGGCAGCAGGGGGGAAUAUUGCACAAUGGGCGGAAGCCUGAUGCAGCAACGCCGCGUGCGGGAUGACGGCCUUCGGGUUGGAAACCGCUUUCGCCUGUGACGAAGCGUGAGUGACGGUAAUGGGUAAAGAAGCACCGGCUAACUACGUG